rnacentral:lncRNA from 1 species
GGAAAAUAUUAUUUAUAUAUAUAUAUUUCCCUUAAGUGAUUCUCUAAGAAGCCAGAGCACGUUUUUACGAACAUAUUACUUACCUAUAAUCUUGUGUCAUUUAUGAUAUAUAUAUUUAUAAUUUGCACUUCCUAAAAUAUCAGUUCUAAUCCGUUUGCAAUAACGUCUUAUCCAAUUGUAAACAUUGACGGAAGAGAACACGUGUUUCAAGAUAAUUUAAAUAAAACCUUUCUCUUUUACAGUUUAAAUGUGUUAUUUUUCAUGAGCGAAUCAUUUUAGUAGUGCUAUUCCGAUGCAGCCAAUCACGACAUGCUAUUUUCUGCUAACAAAUCAUUGAUUGCUCUAUCCUUUACCAUCUGCCAAUAAGUUCAAAGUUUCAAGCGGUAUUUAUCAGGGAAGACCAAUGAGCGAAGUGUAGAUACAAUAAUGAUAUUGUAUCGCAACCAGUUACGUUUAGAAGCAUAGGUUAGACAUGCGAAUGAAUUCAAGCAAUGCAAUUCCUCAUAAUGAUGUCUUUAUUCGUGUAUAGAUUUUUUCUAUGAAAAAAGCAAUGAUACAAGUUAAUUAUUUUAAAUUACAUAACACCCAUCCAAUCGGGUAUUUAAAAAUAUUUAGUUGCCUCGGUGGAUUAGGUCCUAUAUUAAAUAUGUCAGGUCAAGUUUUAAGCUAUUCGAAAAUACAGAUAGGUAUGCUCCGUAUAUUACAUAAGUCUAGCGAUAAGAGCGAUGGGGUUAUAUAUGUUGUUAUUAAAUAGGAGGAAAGGGAAGUGAUACACCUUCGCCUUGAAGCUAUUCAAAAAUUCUCGUUUGAAAGUUUUGUUCCAAAUAUUUUAAUUUGGAUGAUGUUGAAACAAAAAAAA